CAGUCGCCGCGGGAAUACAGAGGGUGCGAGCGUUAAUCGGAUUUACUGGGCGUAAAGCGUGCGUAGGCGGCUUCUUAAGUCGGAUGUGAAAUCCCUGAGCUUAACUUAGGAAUUGCAUUCGAUACUGGGAAGCUAGAGUAUGGGAGAGGAUGGUAGAAUUCCAGGUGUAGCGGUGAAAUGCGUAGAGAUCUGGAGGAAUACCGAUGGCGAAGGCAGCCAUCUGGCCUAAUACUGACGCUGAGGUAAGAAAGCAUGGGGAGCAAACAGGAUUAGAUACCCCUGUAGUCCCUGUCUCUUAUAU
rnacentral:rRNA from 1 species